GCUUCCAUAUGAUCUUUUUGUUGGGAGAUAGUGUUCAUCGUGUAUUGGAGGACAAAAUUAUAUGUUGAUUUUGGGGUUACCCUAAGAUUAGCUUAUUGGGAGUGACAAACCAUGGGGAAGCCCACUGGGAAGAAGAAAAGUAAUGUAAAAUCAAAGUCCAAUGCUGGAAAUGUGAAGGAUGGCAAAGCUUCUUCAGAGCAUAAAUCAAAAGCAUUUGAUGAGGACACAGUUAUGUUUAUCAAGAUGUCUAAAGAAUUGAAGGAAGAAGGGAACAGGUUCUUUCAGAAGCACGAUCAUGAGGGCGCCAUGCUGAAGUAUGACAAGGCACUCAAAUUGCUUCCUAGGAACCAUAUUGAUGUUGCCUAUUUGCAUAGCAACAUGGCUAGUUGCUAUAUGCAAAUGGGGCGUAGCGAGUUUCCAAGAGCUAUAAAUGAAUGUAACUUGGCACUUGAAGUUGCUCCCAAGUAUAGCAAAGCUUUGUUGAAGAGAGCAAAGUGUUAUGAAUCAUUGAAUAGACUUGAUUUAGCUUUAAGGGAUGUGAACCAUGUCUUGAGUAUUGAACCUAACAAUUUGACUGCUUUGGAUAUUGCAGACAAGGUUAAAAAGGAAAUAGAAGAAAUACUAAAAGUUGAAGAGAAAAAGUUAGUCUUACCCCUUCCACUAUCUACCAAUGUUGUAAAGGAUAACAUGAAAAAGAAGAAGAAGAAGAACAAUAAAUUUGAUAGAAAGAGGAUGGUUGAGAUUAAGGAAACUAAGAUUGAUGAAGUCGACGAAAAGAAGGCCGAGGACAAGGUGGUAGUGGAGGAGAAGAGAAGCGUCCAGGGAGAAAAGCCGGUGACAAGAACAGUGAAGUUGGUUCUUGAGGAGGAUAUAAGAUGGGCACAGUUACCAGUUGGUUGCAGUUUUCGACUUGUGAGAAACAUAGUUGUAGAUCGAUUUCCAAAUUUGAAGGGAGCACUUAUCAAGUACAGGGAUCAAGAAGGUGACUUGGUUACUAUCACGACUACUGAUGAGCUCAGGUUGGCUGAAUCAUCUGUUGAUCUUCAAGGUUCUUUAAGACUCUACAUCAAAGAAGUUAGUCCAGAUAAAGAACCUAUGUAUUUGAGGGUUGAAGAAGACGAGAAAUCGAUCAUCUGCAGAUCAACUAUAGUAAAAAAGGAUGGGCACGUGGAGGAGGGGAGGGAACUGAAUAAAGGGCCAACUUGCCCUGAGAACUGGUUUGUCCAAUUCGCACGGCUAUUCAAAAACCAUGUUGGAGUUGAUUGUGACUCGUAUCUGGAUCUUCACGAGACAGGAAUAAAAUUAUAUUCAGAAGCUAUGGAGGACACUGUUACAAAUGAAGAAGCAGAAGAGCUUUUUGACAUUGCUUCAGCUCAGUUCCAAGAGAUGGCAGCUUUGUCUUUGUUUAACUGGGGAAAUGUACACAUGUCUAGAGCAAGAAAAGAAGUAUUUUUCACAGAAGAGGGUUCUGGGGAGACAGUUUCGGAGCAGGUUAAAUCUGCAUAUGAAUGGGCAGAAAAAGAAUAUGAAACUGCAGAAAUGAGGUAUGAAGAAGCUCUUAGAGUCAAGCCAGAUUUCUACGAAAGCCUUCUUGCACUCGGUCAGCAGCAGUUUGAACAAGCAAAACUCUCAUGGUACUAUUUGAUAGGGAGUAAAGUUGAGUUAGGGACGGGGACAUGUGCAGAGAUCUUGGAGCUAUAUAACAAGGCUGAGGAUAGCAUCGAAAGAGGGAUGGAAAUGUGGGAAGAGAUGGAAGAACAGUACCUAAAUGGACUCUCGAAAUAUGAGGAAUAUAAAGCUCAAUUGCACAAAAGGGGUUUGGAGGGCAUACUUAAAUCAUCUGAAGAAACUAAAGAGCAGACUGAAAACAUGAGGUCUCAGAUUUACCUGUUAUGGGGAACCAUGCUCUAUGAACGUUCCGUGGUGGAAUUUAAGACAGGAUUACCAACCUGGGAAGAAUGUCUAGAUGUUGCAGUAGAAAAGUUUGAACUAGCUGGAGCAUCACAUUCUGAUAUUGCAGUCAUGAUAAAGAACCACUGUUCCAAUGAAACUGCUCUUGAAGGGUUCAAAGUUGAUGAGAUUGUACAGGCAUGGAGUGAGAUGUAUGAUACAAACAGGUGGCAGACUGGGGUGCCAGCUUUCAGGCUAGAACCAUUGUUCCGUCGUCGGGUUUCAAGCCUUCAUUCUAUACUGGAAAAUAUUUGAAUUGCAAAGCUUAUGAUACAUUAAAACAAAGACUAUUGGUAUCACCUCAACAAGUUUAUGCAGUGAUACACUUCCCAAGUCAAUAUAUUCUUUCUUGUGAGUUAUUGUCUUCAUGUUCUGCUAUUUGUCUUUGCUGAUACAUCACCGAGUUUCAUCUUUUGAAGAGAUUAGUUUGUUCUACAUGCAAAGGUUUCUGUAUGAUCAUUGUCUUUUACAGUUUUUUGUUAUUUUUGGAUAGAGGACAAAUGCAAAUUAGUUGCAUUCAAUUUUCACACAGCUAGUAAACUAUAACAUUGAAUUUGUAAGUCUCCUGUAUAUAGAAAAUUGCACAUUAAGUUUUCUUCUUCAUUCAAUCUCACAGAUUUGGUAUAUAGCUAGCCUAUAGAUUUUUAUGCUAUUAUUAAUACUACCUAUAGUUACUGUUAGCCGUUCAAAUCAGGAAAAAAAGAUUAAAAAUUAAGAGAACAGAAAAUGCUGUAAGCAAAAAAACAAGGAUGUAUGUCAACAGGGGCGAAUAUAGUGUAUAUGUAGGGGGUCAGAUUGCUUGCAACUCCGACCUUGCAUAUAUAUGUGAAAAUUUAUUAGAAUUGGUAUAUAUUAAGAGAAGUGAACCUACUGCUUCAAGAGAGUCAGGUGCAGUCGGCCGUUGCUCCUCCAGCUAGUUAAACUCAAGUCAAUUCCUGGAUCCGCCCAUGCCUGCCAACCGCCAAAUCAUGCUUUUGGCGGUAAAGAAAGCGAAGCAGGCUUAAUAUGGCA